rnacentral:rRNA from 1 species
GGGCUUAGCUGGUGAGCGAUCCCAGUCCGCGGCAGAGAACAAGACAGCAAGCGAGCAUACCUUUGUUCGCUUCUUUUCCACCAAGCACAGAAGUUUAAGGAGAACUGUAGGUCGGUGGCUACCUAA